rnacentral:lncRNA from 1 species
UCUUGGGGGGGAUUUGGGCGGUGCUCCCCCACGGCGGGGCUCAGCCCCACGGCGAUGCCCCCCCCCAGCAGUGCCCUGCGGCAACAAGGGUGACAUCUGUGCUGAGAGCGCCUGCUGCGUGGGGACGCGCAGCCAAGGCUACUCCUGCCGCUGCCGCCCCGGCUUCACGUCGGUGACCCUCAACAGCUCCCUGCACGCCUGCCGCGCCUUGAACGAGUGCGAAGUCGCCCCGGGGCGCUGCGGCCCCAACCGCGUCUGCGUCCCCCAGUCCGGCACCGCCACCUGCGUCUGCCUGCCCGGCUACAGCGGCCCCAACUGCACAGAGCGGAUUUUCGUCUGCGAAAACCAAACCGUGCAGGUUGAGGCUCUCCGGAGGCGCUGCGAGCACUUGACCCCGGGGGGCGACCCGGAUGACUUCUGCCGCGUGCUCAACGCCACGGUGAAGCAGCUGGAGGUGGCCUGCGGCAGCGGUGACCGCAAGGGUGACAUCAAGCUGCAGGAGACCCUCGCCCCGCUCUUCAACGCGACGGCCCAGCUGCAGAGCAAGCACAACCCUGAGGCCGUCGCCGUGGCCCAGCUGCUGCUGCACACGGCCGAGGUCCUCGUCCUGGAGGUCGCCGUGCGCAGCGGCCAGUCCAGGCCCAUCACCACGGACACCCUGAGCGCCGUGGCCCAGCUGGUCACCAACGGCUGCCGGCUGGCCGGCCAGGUCCUGGAGC